rnacentral:rRNA from 1 species
GACGAACGCUGGCGGCGUGCUUAACACAUGCAAGUCAGGGAGAACGGUGUCCUUCGGGAUGCCUAGUAAACCGGCAAACGGGUGAGUAACACGUAGGUAACUUGCCUUUGGGUUUGGGAGUAACCUCGCUAACGCGGGGGUAAUUCCGAAUAAUAGCAGCGGAUCCGCAUGGAUAUGUUGUUAAAGCGGCGAUGACUUGUCAUCGUCGCGCCUAAAGAUGGACCUGCGCCCCAUUAGCAGUUGGUGAGGUUACGGCUCACCAAGGCUGCGAUGGGUAGCCGGCCUGAGAGGGUGACCGGCACACUGGGACUGAGACACGGCCCAGACUCCUACGGGAGGCAGCA